CCGUGGUCCUAGUUUUCCAGGCCAGCGUACCGCACCCACAUCUCUCUGCUCUUAUCUUUAACAAACCCUAAGAGAGUCCAUCUUUGUUUUCAUCUCUCACUAUGUUGUUUCUCAGACAACAAAUUUCACAAAACGAAUAAUCUACAAAGAACAAAAAUCGUUCAAUCUUAACUCUCCAUCUGUGAUCUCAGAAGAGAAAGACAAACCCUAGAAGGCUAGAACCCACUGAACCAAAUCAAUCUACUCACCUAAUAGAUCUGUCAUUGGGGCCUUCUUCUUUUUUGAAGUGAACAACAUAUUUUAAUUUUUCGGGUGUUGAGGAUAAUUUUGAUACUAUUACUUCUGUAAGGGGACAAUUGGUUAUAAAAGGGGUUGGAAACAUUUUACAAAGGACACAUUUGGACCAAGACAAUCCUGCACUCUACUUGCUUGAUAAAAAUUCAGAGAGGCGAUUUUUAAAUUUUAUCUAACCUUCCAUCCACCACCGUCACCACUUCAUUCACAUCAUGUACACCUCUCGACCUGAGAACUUCUCCUCCCCUGUUUGUGAAAACACUAAAAAACUCACAGCUGAAUUCAGCUGUCACCACCAUAGAGUCCACUUUCACAGACCACCAACACCUCCACCAAUCUAUCACCAAUUCCUUCACACCUUCACGAAUAAAAUUUCGUAUACUUGAGGUCCCAAUGUCACAUGGGUGGCCAUCAAAAUGUUUACCUCUAUGAGGAAAAUCGCUAAAGAUAAGGGUGUUGAUCAUCUAUAAAAAGACAAAUGCCUCAAGAGUUCGUCUGUCUACCACAUAUUUUGUUCCUCAAGGUGCAUCUCAAACCAAAAAUAUGACGUAAUUGAGCAUCCGUUCGCCCAAUGGAUUUCAGAACCACAAGAAGGAAAUUUGCUGGUGGGACUUACUCUGACUUGGAGGAUUAGUUUAGCAUUGCUCGAAAGGCAGAAAUGAUGGGAAAUAUGGGUGAAGUCUUGCCUUCAAGUUAGUGUUGAUGCUUUCUGUUUGUUGAGCUUCGAAUAGGAAUAUAGGUUAAGCAUUUUCAACUUAGUGUUGAAGUUUCAGGUUUGGAACUGAAGGUAUUUUAGAUAGUUGAAGUUGUAAACCGAAUACACUUUUUUAAUAUAAAAUUUUGGAUCCAGAGUGAUUUAUAUAAUAAUUUUGCUUCUAAGUAAAAUUUUUUUUUUUGAA